rnacentral:rRNA from 1 species
UGGGGAAUAUUGCACAAUGGAGGGAACUCUGAUGCAGCGACGCCGCGUGAGUGAUGAAGGACUUCGUUUCGUAAAACUCUGUUCUAUGGGAAGAAAAUGACUGUACCAUAGGAGAAAGCUCCGGCUAAAUACGUGCCAGCAGCCGCGGUAAUACGUAUGGAGCGAGCGUUGUCCGGAAUUAUUGGGCGUAAAGGGUGCGCAGGCGGCUUUACAAGUUGGAUGUGAAAUAUUGUGGCUCAACCACAAACGUGCAUCCAAAACUGCAAAGCUUGAGUUAAGGAGAGGUAAGUGGAAUUCCUGGUGUAGCGGUUGAAUGCGUAGAUAUCAGGAGGAAUACCGGUGGCGAAGGCGACUUACUGGACUUAAACUGACGCUCAGGCACGAAAGCGUGGGGAGCAAACAGG